UACGUAGGUGACAAGCGUUGUCCGGAUUUACUGGGCGUAAAGAGCGCGCAGGCGGUCGAUCAAGUCGAGUGUGAAAGCCCCCGGCUCAACUGGGGAGGGUCAUUCGAUACUGAUCGACUCGAAGGCAGGAGAGGGUAGUGGAAUUCCCGGUGUAGUGGUGAAAUGCGUAGAUAUCGGGAGGAACACCAGUGGCGAAGGCGGCUAUCUGGGCUGCAACUGACGCUGAGGCGCGAAGGCUAGGGGGAGCAAACAGG
rnacentral:rRNA from 1 species